AUAUAUAUAUAUGCUUCUGGAAGUGAGGCUACUAUGCUUCUGAAAGUACGGAGUCUUCCGUGCCACCAGGUCGUAUUCCAUGUUGCGACUUUCGAAUCGUCGAUCGGCCCCGUUAAACUUGAUCUAGAGUAUUUGAAGUACCUAGAAAAUAAAUUACGCGAUUUUUCGAUAUUAUUUGCCUAGUGAACGAAGGAGUAUUUGAAGUACCUAGAAAAUAAAUAUAGAUUUUAAGUUUUCGCCAUUGAAUCUUAUCGAACGAAUAAAAAUAAAAGUAUCUGUAACUUUUGUUGAUCAAAAUACCCUCAAUAUUCGUUAUUUCCUACCAUCGCGUUUGUCAAAUAUUUUCUUUCUACUCACUAAUCACGUAACACGUGAAAUUAAAUUUAUCUUCUAUCUAACGUAAUACUCGCCAAUCACAUAAUAUGUACACUAGUCAGGUAAUACAUAAAAUUAAAUUUUUUCUUAUCCACACGUUUUCUUAACUAUUUUUUUCUCAAACGUAUACAUGCCAAUCCACCUACAACAGAAUUAGGUUAUAGGGCACAUGUUUGGGACAUUUUUAAAUAAGUGUCCAUUUAUGCUAAAACUUAAAAAAUAUCUAUUAAUGCCUAAAUAUAAAGCCAAUCCAACCAAAAAUAAAAGAUUACUCUACUCACCCACCACAUCCAGCCAUUUGGCCCGAUUACAAACAGAAAAGAAAAAAAAAAAAAAAAUCAAUUACCAUCUUUUCUUCUCUCUUCACUCAAUCCACUGAAAUUCUAGACGAAGAGCCUUUCCUGUCGUCCUCCUCCGCCACCGCAGCCAACGAGAUAGAGUUUCGGCGGUUGCUAAAUACUUAAAUAAGUGUUGGUAAAUUAGCAGCACUCUUUUAGAUUAUAGCGAUACUCUUUAACUGUCACUAUAUACCUAGCGACCCCACAUACAGCAACACUUUUUAAAAGUGUCGGUAAUUUUAGCUAGCAGCACUUUUUUGACAUGUACCUAUAUUUAAAAUUGUCGUUAUAGACCAUUUUUGUUGUAGUGAUCACGUAGUAUUCAAAAUUAAAUUUUAAAUUUGUUAUGCCGGCCAAAAUUUAAUACCCGACAAUUUGAUAAUUUAAAUUUUAAUUCAUGAUAGUAGAUUUUUCUUACGUGAGAUAGUAGAUUUAAUUUUGACGAGUAUUAAAAUUUAGCGUAUCAGAGAAACGUUAAAUAUUGCUAAAAAAAUUUUGAUACCCACUAAAUCAAAACUAAAUCGUUACUUAAAUAUAAUUUUGAAUUUUUUUAGUAAAAUAUUCAAUGUUUAAGUAAUACCCACCAAAAUAUUCUAUGCGUUUCUCAAAUAUAGAGCAUAUCUUAAUACCCUCGCUGUCAUGCUCCGGGAUCCUUUUACAAAUCCUUCUUAAGAACAAUAAGCGGAAAACGUGUAAAUUUUCUUUUUUGUAAAACACUUUUGAGAAUAUCCCGAAACGCACACAGACCCGCCAUAUGGACAAAGAAUCCCCUAUUCGAACGGACAGAGUCUCCUCUGUACAUGCACGGCGUAGUACGAGUAUACAAUAUCAACCGCACCACAAUCAAUCAACAAGAAUAUAGAAAAUAACAACUAACGGCAUGAUGAUCACAUAAACAUAUACUUCACAUAAAAUCAACUAGUCUAAUAACUCAAUCCAUCACUCUAGCAUCAUAAAUAAUCAGCGGGUAAUAAAUGUACAGAUCAAGGGACACUAAUAAAAAAUUAUUCCCACAAAAAAUUGAAACUAAAAACGAAAAGAAGAAGGUCCAUCCCAGAUCAAUCCAAGAACACCGCUAUCUAGAACUGUCCUCACGCAUCAUCCUGACCCUCACCGCUCGAGCUAUCUGAAAAAUAGU
rnacentral:lncRNA from 1 species